rnacentral:rRNA from 1 species
UACAGAGGCCCCAAGCGUUAGGCGGAAUCACUGGGCUUAAAGCGUGUGUAGGCGGGUCGUUAAGUACCUUGUGAAAUCCCACGGCUUAACCGUGGAACCGCUUGGUAUACUGGCGGUCUUGAGCCACUUAGGGGCUACCGGAACAGAUGGUGGAGCGGUGAAAUGCGUAGAUAUCAUCUGGAACGCCCAUGGUGAAAACAGGUAGCUGGGAGUGUGCUGACGCUGAGACACGAAAGCCAGGGGAGCGAACGGG